rnacentral:lncRNA from 1 species
UUUUUGAUUGAAAAAAUUUUUCUUUGGUUUCUUUAUUUUCAAUUUAUGGAGUUCUAUUCAAAUGAUAAUACGAAUAUGAUACUAAAUCCAUGGUGUCAGACUUCCAAGCUCCAUUUUUUUUUGGCUCCUAACUAUCAGUUUAUGGAGUUGUGUUCUCAUGAUAAUAUGAAUAUGAUACCAAUCUGUUCAUCAAGCAGUG